rnacentral:rRNA from 1 species
UACGAGGGGGGCAAGCGUUGUUCGGAAUUACUGGGCGUAAAGCGCACGUAGGCGGAUUGUUAAGUCGGGGGUGAAAUCCUGGAGCUCAACUCCAGAACUGCCUUCGAUACUGGCGAUCUCGAGUUCGGGAGAGGUGAGUGGAACUGCGAGUGUAGAGGUGAAAUUCGUAGAUAUUCGCAAGAACACCAGUGGCGAAGGCGGCUCACUGGCCCGAUACUGACGCUGAGGUGCGAAAGCGUGGGGAGCAAACAGG